rnacentral:rRNA from 1 species
AACGGAACGAACAAGGGCGCAUGGGGGAUGCCUUGGCUCUCGGAGGCGAAGAAGGACGUGACAAGCUGCGAAAAGCUGCGGCGAGUGGCAAAUACACCGUGACCCGCAGAUAUCCGAAUGGGGCAACCCGUAGGGAGCGAUC